rnacentral:sRNA from 1 species
GCUGGGUGUGGUGGUGGACGCCUGUAAUCCCAGCUACACAGGAGGCUGAGGCGGGAGAAUCGCUUGAACCUGGGAGGUGGAGGUUGCAGUGAGCUGAGACUGUGCCACUGCACUCCAGCCUGGGUGACAAAGUGAGACUCCGUCUCAAAAAAAAAAAAAGAUGUUCAUUUGUGCUUUAUUAUUUAUAAUAACAAAUAUAAUUUUUUUUUUUAAGAUGAAGUCUCACUCUGUCCCCCAGGCUAGAGUGCAGUGGUGCGACGGCAGCUCACUGCAACCUCUGCCUCCCAGGUUCAAGCGAUUCUCCUGCCUCAG